UACGAAGGGGGCUAGCGUUGUUCGGAAUUACUGGGCGUAAAGCGCACGUAGGCGGAUCUAUAAGUCAGGGGUGAAAUCCCGGGGCUCAACCUCGGAACUGCCUUUGAUACUGUAGAUCUCGAGUCCGAUAGAGGUGAGUGGAAUUCCUAGUGUAGAGGUGAAAUUCGUAGAUAUUAGGAAGAACACCAGUGGCGAAGGCGGCUCACUGGAUCGGUACUGACGCUGAGGUGCGAAAGCGUGGGGAGCAACAGG
rnacentral:rRNA from 1 species